rnacentral:rRNA from 1 species
AUUGAACGCUAGCGGGAUGCCUUACACAUGCAAGUCGAACGGAGUGGCGAACGGGUGAGUAAUGUAUCGGAACGUGCCCAGUAGCGGGGGAUCACUACGCGAAAGCGUAGCUAAUACCGCAUACUAUUUGAGCGGCCGAUAGCGGAUUAGCUAGUUGGUGGGGUAACGGCUCACCAAGGCGACGAUCCGGAGCUGGUUUGAGAGGACGACCAGCCAAACUGGGAAGGAGACACGGCCCAGACUCCGACGGGAGGCAGCAGGGGGGAAGUUUGGACAAUGGGGGAAACCCUGAUCCAGCGAUCCCGCGUGUGCGAUGAAGGCCUUCGGGGUGUAAAGCACGUUUGGCAGGAAAGCGGUACCUGCAGAAUAAGCACCGGCUAACUACGUGCCAGCCGCCGCGGUAAUUC